UUAACUAAAGCUAAAAAGAAGCACUUCACUGUUAAUGAAAAAAUUGAAUUAAAAAUCUAGUUAAA
rnacentral:tRNA from 1 species